CCAUUGAUUGCGAUACUUGAUUAGCUGGGAUCCAGCUUUACUUACAAUGUUAUUCCCUAUGGAUGUAUGGAUUGUCAGGAAUUCUGAUUGUAGGAUGAAACUGAAGAUACAGCUGACUUGGAUAAUAUUUCUAGUCCAGCUAUUUUUGCAUGAAUUUUACUCUGAUAUCCUGACUGUUCAUACCUUAAUCUUAUAAAAUAAGAGUGACUAUAGUGGCCUGCUAGAGGAGGGCUUCCUCUGACCCAUCAUCUUAUUGAAGGAGACAGUUUGGAAAUGUUAGGAACAUUAGAAAAGAAAACUGGAAUAUGCUCAGGUAUAACUUUACAAAACCUCAUUAAACACAUUUUUUUAAAUAUAAUUAAUGAUGUUUCAAGGCUUAUAAUUUCAAGUUCUAGGCUACUAGCCUG